CUCUCAGUGAUUUCCUCACAACCUGAGAUAUCAAAUAACUCCGAGACGGAGAUAAAUAAAUGAACAUCGUAAACCAUAUAAUAUUGCGGAAGACUCACAAUUAAAAGAUACAAUAAGAGAUAUUUUAGAAGAAUUGUAUUCUGAUACAGCAAAGCCUGAAACUACUCAUAACAUUGUCAUCAAGAAUUGAUACGACUGACUAAGGUAGCAGAGACUAAGGUAGAGGAUAUUAUUGAAAGUGAUUCACUUCUCUCUGGAUUACUUUCAAAUAUUAGGAUAGAGGAGCUCACAUCACAGAUUGCUGUUGCAUAAGGGCAAGGUUCCACCACAUGACAGGACAGUUCUUGAUCUUGAGAAGGCUAUUUUGCGAAAGCUAUCGUGUGUAUUUUGAAGAGAAAACAUCGGGAAGUAAGUUGAAAACACAUUUGGGAGAAAUAUCAUAUUUGUUUCGAACAUAUUAAACUUGUUACAAUUCUACUAACAAUUACUAACAAUUCUAAACGAUUCUAAAUGAGGACAUUCUAAUAUUGUAAACGUUUUAUAUAUAUAUUGAUGUUUGUGCAGUCAUAUAUAUAACUUAUUUCCUUGUAAAACUAAAUAUCUUCGAAAUGAAAUGCACCAAAAUCGACACUCAUGUCUGGUCGCUCAAUGUUGUAUAAAUAAAGCCCACUUUAGA